UCUGCACGGAACGUUCCACUACUUCACGACGUGACGGUUACGUGCCGACUCACUCUCCAGGUCCCUUCAACUGACAUGCCCACGUGUCACGUCCCCGCACCUUCCGGAGCAGGCUCGGGACACCGACUCUUCACGACUUCGGCAGAAGGAAGCCUCGGUACCUCCCUGGCCCGAAGCUCCCGAGGCUUAGGGGGCUUAUUGAGGAUGCUCACCUCGGACACGCGGGUGUCCGAGGUGAACACAAGUCUCGUCCCUCAUCGGAGCUCAUCCCUGUCUUGAGCACAACCCCAGAGCUCGGCUUCAUCACUAGUCCACCGUGUAGGUGACCUCGGCACAUCCACCUCGGCUGCACGCUGAAAACAAGGGAUGAAGUCAAAGCAAGAAACAAAAAGCGCUGAGAUGAGAGGAAACAGACUUUCAUUUAACAGAAGUAUUACAAAAAUUACAAGGCCGAGGUCGGAGUGCUACUAAACACUUCACCUCGGCCACCCCCUUGAAGCCUACAAGCCUAAACCCCCGUAUCGGCUGCAUCCCCGGUCUUGGCUCCCUCCUGGGCAUCCAUCUUUUCGGCCUCCUUUCCGCCGGGGUGAACUUCAUCUCCAGGCUCUUUGCCGACGUCCCCUCCGGCUUCGUCUCCCCCGGCAUCCUCUCCAGUUUCUUCCUCUUCAACCCCCUCGAACACUUCGUCGAUUUCGGACAGCCAUUUGUUGAACUCGGCCUGGAUCUCGGCCAGGUCCCUUCCAGCCUGGAGGCCCUCAGCCAUCCGGUCGCACAACUCCUUGGAGUCCUCGUUGUAACUGACACUCUCUGCACGAAACGUUCCACUACUUCACGACGUGACAGUUACGUGCCGACUCACUCUCCAGGUCCCUUCAACUGACAUGCCCACGUGUCACGUCCCCGCACCUUCCGGAGCAGGCUCGGGACACCGACUCUUCACGACUUCGGCAUAAAGAAGCCUCGGUACCUCCCUGGCCCGAAGCUCCCGAGGCUUGGGGGGCUUAUUGAGGAUGCUCACCUCGGACACGCGGGUGUCCGAGGUGAACACAAGUCUCGUCCCUCAUCGGAGCUCAUCCCUGUCUUGAGCACAACCCCAGAGCUCGGCUUCA
rnacentral:lncRNA from 1 species